UUUUAUGGAUAAGCAAAGAAAGUGGUUUCUUGAGAUGGAAGCAACUUCUGGUGAAGAUGUUAUGAA
rnacentral:pre_miRNA from 1 species